rnacentral:rRNA from 1 species
GAUGAACGCUGGCGGCGUGCUUAACACAUGCAAGUCGAACGGAAAGGCUCCUGCUUGCAGGGGUACUCGAGUGGCGAACGGGUGAGUAACACGUGGGUGAUCUGCCCUGCACUUCGGGAUAAGCUUGGGAAACUGGGUCUAAUACCGGAUAGGACCGCAUUUUGGAUGGUGUGGUGGAAAGUUUUUUCGGUGUGGGAUGAGCUCGCGGCCUAUCAGCUUGUUGGUGGGGUAAUGGCCUACCAAGGCGUCGACGGGUAGCCGGCCUGAGAGGGUGUACGGCCACAUUGGGACUGAGAUACGGCCCAGACUCCUACGGGAGGCAGCAGUGGGGAAUAUUGCACAAUGGGCGCAAGCCUGAUGCAGCGACGCCGCGUGGGGGAUGACGGCCUUCGGGUUGUAAACUCCUUUCGCUAGGGACGAAGAGUAAUUGACGGUACCUGGAGAAGAAGCACCGGCUAACUACGU